AAGUCGUAACAAGGUUUCCGUAGGUGAACCUGCGGAAGGAUCAUUGAGAAUUGGAGGGUGUGGGUCCUCUUUUGGUUGGAUGUGUUUCGGCACUGAAGAUUGGAGGGGGGCUUGCAUUUUCUUUGUGAACUGUUUUUUGGGUUUUUGAUAAUUUUGGGUACUUUGUAUUUUUUUUUAAAGUUUCUUUAUAGACAACUUUCAGCAAUGGAUCUCUAGGCUCUU
rnacentral:misc_RNA from 1 species